GGAAUCCGGCUCCUGCGGCGGGAGGAAGUCCAGGAUCGCGGCGAGGAGGCGGCAGGGCCCCGGAUCCUGGGCUGCCGUCCCGGCUCUGGGGUGGCUGGGUGGGUGGGUGCGUGAGUGGGAGGUAGGGCGGGAAGGGGGGAGCCGACAGGCGGUCGGCUUGCGGAGAGCCCCCGGGUGUGGGCGCUGCCUUGAACUCCUUACCCCAGCUGCCUGGCUGCCCCCAGCUUCCCAAAGCUCAAAUAAGAGGGGCCGGCGGCGGGGGAGGAGGAGGAGCCUGGAGGCUCGGCCGCUCCAUUCACACCGCAGCCCUAGCCGCGCUGGUCAGCGCGCACAGCUCCUUGGGGGCGCCCUCGCCGCGGGGGCGGGGGGGGGCGGGCCUGAGGGAGCGUCCCUCGCCGAGACACCCUCCUCUCCCACCCGCCACGCGCUCUCAGCAGGCCUGUGUGGCGCAGCCCUCCCCCCACCGCCCCAUCCUAGCUUUCAGGAGUGUGGGCGCCUCAAGGCCGCGGGCGAGUCCCUCCAGGCAAACAAACAAAAAAGAAAUCAUGAUGGGAAGAGAACUGGGGCGUGUGACAAGGUCAAGCAGAAACUGAGCUGGAUUCAAUAG
ensembl:lncRNA